rnacentral:rRNA from 1 species
UACGUAGGGCGCAAGCGUUAUCCGGAUUUAUUGGGCGUAAAGAGCUCGUAGGCGGUUUGUCGCGUCUGCUGUGAAAUCCCAGGGCUUAACCCUGGGCCUGCAGUGGGUACGGGCAAACUAGAGUGCGGUAGGGGAGAUCGGAAUUCCUGGUGUAGCGGUGAAAUGCGCAGAUAUCAGGAGGAACACCGGUGGCGAAGGCGGAUCUCUGGGCCGUAACUGACGCUGAGGAGCGAAAGCAUGGGUAGCGAACAGG